AACUUUCCAGAGAUGGAUUUGGUGCCUUUCGGGAACUGUGAGACAGGUGCUGCAUGGCUGUCGUCAGCUCGUGUUGUGAAAUGUUGGGUUAAGUCCCGCAACGAGCGCAACCCUUAUCCUUUGUUGCCAGCGGUCCGGCCGGGAACUCAAAGGAGACUGCCAGUGAUAAACUGGAGGAAGGUGGGGAUGACGUCAAGUCAUCAUGGCCCUUACGACCAGGGCUACACACGUGCUACAAUGGCGCAUACAAAGAGAAGCAAACUCGCGAGAGCAAGCGGACCUCAUAAAGUGCGUCGUAGUCCGGAUUGGAGUCUGCAACUCGACUCCAUGAAGUCGGAAUCGCUAGUAAUCGUGAAUCAGAAUGUCACGGUGAAUACGUUCCCGGGCCUUGUACACACCGCCCGUCACACCAUGGGAGUGGGUUGCAAAAGAAGUAGGUAGCUUAACCUUCGGGAGGGCGCUUACCACUUUGUGAUUCAUGACUGGGGUGAAGUCGUAACAAGGUAAGCGUAGAUGA
rnacentral:rRNA from 1 species